UAUGAAGAUAGAGGCGCAGAAGUCGAGGUAAGCUUUCGCAAAACGGGCGGUUCCGGCGAAAGGCUGAAUGCGGCUCUUGCCGAAAGUGCGGCGGGGAAUCCGCUUCCCCCGUGCUUGGGCGCAGCAGCUCAGUGCGCUGCGACUGUCAUCGCGGGUCGUUUUCGGCUUGGGUACUGAUGAUGCGCUAUUCACGCG
rnacentral:ncRNA from 2 species